rnacentral:rRNA from 1 species
UGGGGAAUAUUGCGCAAUGGGGGCAACCCUGACGCAGCAACGCCGCGUGCGGGACGACGGCCUUCGGGUUGUAAACCGCUUUCAGCAGGGAAGAUAGUGACGGUACCUGCACAAGAAGCCCCGGCUAACUACGUGCCAGCAGCCGCGGUAAUACGUAGGGGGCGAGCGUUAUCCGGAUUCAUUGGGCGUAAAGCGCGCGCAGGCGGCUCUUCAAGCGGAACCUCUAACCCCGGGGCUCAACCUCGGGCCGGGUUCCGAACUGGAGGGCUCGAGUGCGGUAGAGGCAGGCGGAAUUCCCGGUGUAGCGGUGGAAUGCGCAGAUAUCGGGAAGAACACCGAUGGCGAAGGCAGCCUGCUGGGCCGGCACUGACGCUGGGGCGCGAAAGCUAGGGGAGCGAACAGG